rnacentral:tRNA from 1 species
UGGUUUUGAGAUUCUGGUUCUUAGGACCCCAGUUCGAAUCUGGGUGGGACCA